AACGAACGCUGGCGGCAGGCUUAACACAUGCAAGUCGAGCGCCUCGCAAGGGGAGCGGCAGACGGGUGAGUAACGCGUGGGAACAUGCCCAAAGGUACGGAACAACUCCGGGAAACUGGAGCUAAUACCGUAUGUGACCGAGAGGUGAAAGAUUUAUCGCCUUUGGAUUGGCCCGCGUUGGAUUAGCUAGUUGGUGGGGUAAAGGCCUACCAAGGCGACGAUCCAUAGCUGGUCUGAGAGGAUGAUCAGCCACACUGGGACUGAGACACGGCCCAGACUCCUACGGGAGGCAGCAGUGGGGAAUAUUGGACAAUGGGCGCAAGCCUGAUCUAGCCAUGCCGCGUGUGUGAUGAAGGCCUUAGGGUUGUAAAGCACUUUCGCCAGGGACGAUAAUGACGGUACCUGGAUAAGAAGCCCCGGCUAACUUCGUGCCAGCAGCCGCAGUAACAC
rnacentral:rRNA from 1 species